UGCGUAGGGGGCGAGCGUUGUCCGGAAUUAUUGGGCGUAAAGAGCUCGUAGGCGGCUCAGCAAGUCGGCUGUGAAAUCCCGAGGCUCAACCUCGGAACUGCAGUCGAUACUGCUGUGGCUAGAGUCUGGUAGAGGAGAGUGGAAUUCCCGGUGUAGCGGUGAAAUGCGCAGAUAUCGGGAGGAACACCGAUGGCGAAGGCAGGUCUCUGGGCCACUACUGACGCUGAGAAGCGAAAGCAUGGGGAGCGAA
rnacentral:rRNA from 1 species